CUCUGCUGCUUCUCAACUCGACUUAGAGAAAGAUGCAACAGCAAGAAAGAGUCUGAAGACCCAGCCAAGACAAUCUAUGGCUGGACUCCCUGAUGGAUAUAUCCACAUUUUAAGCACCUGUGACUCCAUGAUCUCAAUAUCAAUGUAUUUCCAAGCAGAUUGCCUCUCUACAACAUUCUCAUACCAUGAAGUUACAAGUUCAAGUGUCUCUUUUUACAUUAUAGAAGAAAAAUAAGAACAAACAGGGAAAGGAAAGCUAUUAAUUAGGAAACUGAAAAUGUGGUCCUGCAGUUGAAUGCAGCAGCUGGAAUAUUUAGAUGUUUUACACAAUCACCACAAAAUAAGGUAUACAGCUUUAAUCAGGGGAAAGGAAACUAAGUUUGGCACAAGUGACCCAACAAUUCCCCAGUGCCUGAAUAAUCAAACAGUGCCUGUCCUAGCAAGUUCUGCUUAGUGCAAGGUGGCCUCAUCGUGCCCUCCUCCGCUGAGAGCCUUGAGUUACUGUGUUUAGACUGAGAAUUACUAUCAGUUUGAAAAUAAAAGACAUCAACUAGGAACUUGUGUCUGUCCAGGCACUUGUACCUCAUACCAGUCUCUCGACAGUUUUAGAAAGCAUCUGUUAAUUUAUUUCAUAUAUAUGUAUUUACAUUGGAGGAAAUGCACAACACUGAAAAUACAACAUUUACACGUUCCCAGCUACACAGUUUGCACUCUCUCCCCUGUUAGGACCAGGCACUCGGCUCCUCCAGCUGUGCAGUGAUGACAACAUCAAUUCUGAGCAGCUCAACUGAAUUUAUGCAGUUUCUUACCUUUGAAUAAGAAGUGGGAGUAAUACUUGAAGGUGUUGUACGACUGCUGCAUCAGACCAAAGUUGGGAUGCACAGCCAUUUGCUUCCCUGCAUCGAAGCUCCACGACUGAGAGAUCAGCUGGCUGCGGAACUUCAAAAUCAGGCUGAAGAUGCUGUGUAUGAUGUUCAUCACAGGGGCUGCCUUCUCUGUUAACAGACCCCUAACGGAAUAACAACAACAAGGUUGCCUACCGAAGACAGUUUGUUUCCAAAUUCACACCAUGUAACAUGAAGAAUCUGAUUAGCAAUGUAACCUUGAAUAACUUUCACAAAAUGCUGCAUUUCAUGUUUAUACAGCUGGAGCUGUCGAAACUGAACAGAAUUGGAUGCCCGGCUCACUAAAGCUGAGAACAAAACCAGAAACACAUCAUUAUAAGCGCCCACAGAGACUGACUGAAAUCAGGAUUUUUCAAGGAAAGAAGGUUUCUGUUAGUGGAGUCUGUUUAAAAUGCCAAGGGAGUUUCUUAAACAAGCUUUUGAAGAUCAACAUGAGUGUUUAAAAGCAAUUGUCUAGCAGAGGGUGCUACAAGCUAAAAGCGUUUCAAGUGGGUCGCUCUCUAUUUAACUCCUUCUCCUUACCAGUGCGCUUCAAGUGAAACCAAACAUCCUUCAGAGUCCACACCAUGUGCUUCAGCUGAAGCAGAAAGGAGAAGAUCUUGUUGUAUUUAUUCAUGCAGCUCUCAGUAAUGACAAUGUUCAGAGGCCAGUCAACCUACAAGGAACAACACUGCUGAUGACACUACAUCUUUGUUAGCAAUGACAAGAACUUGUCAGUUUUUUGAUGACACUACAAUUUUGCUAGCAAUGACACAAGCACUUCAGGCUCAUGCAAACUCAGCUCUGUAUUCUAACAGCGUAAUGCAAUGGCCAGGCCAAGUAAAUCCUGGAAUUUCCAUCACACAAUUCUUUGACUCAGUUCUGACAGGUAUUCCAUUACUAAGAACAUAUUCACUCUACCACUGUACAUAAGAAUCAAGGUAUAAUUGCAGUACUGUACCUUUCUCCAUGCUUUCUUACCUUGUACCUUAGCUCUAAGCAACUCAGAGCAUCAGGUGCAUUGGGCUUGAACACUUCUGGAAGAUACUUGAGGGCAAAAGAAAGAUUGGAAGCAAGCUGGGUGUCACCAUGAAGACUGUACUGUAAUGCUUUAUUUAGGAUAGAAUUAAGAACCAGUGGAUUCAGCAAUUCACCAGGUGUUUGUCCUGAUCCAAGCUAGGAGUAAAAAAAUAAACAAAAUCCUAAUUACAGAGCUUUAAUAAGUAGUCUUGGCUCCUGAACACAGCUGAAUUAUUAUCCUGCCUUGCUCCACCAUUCUGAUUGGAAGUUUCUGCUUCUGCCAUAGGGAUACAUAAACAGACUUAUUUGGAUAUGCUGGACUGCAGUCUGCUGUGGCUGAGGAGCUGCUACAUAUCCCUGCUGCAGGGAAUACAGCCUUUAGGCUUCAGCAAGGCAGAAAACCAGCAACAGGGCUGGCAUUCUCCACCUGACUCCUACCUGCCUGCCUCAUGAACUCAGCAUCCUCACAGCUUUAAAAGCAAAGCUAUUUGUUGUGUCUAAAUCCCCAAGUCUUUCUUUAACUGAGCCUAAAGCAUUCUUAGAUCCAGAGAAAUACAUUAACUAACUUACAGCCACGUACCUCCACUGGCAACCAGCUAUAUUAACCCAGGCUAUCCCUCCCACCUUGCUAUCUUCUCCACAGAGGGGUAAGUAAUGAAAAUAGUUGUCUCAUCAGAGGGCCCAGCACACUCUUCAGAUGCACACUCCUCUCUUUUGCAGGGUAUUUGGGGUAAGAGUAGCUAUUUUGCCACGCAGGCCUUUCCACUGGAUUUCAGCAACAGACAACAGUCUCUUCCAGGCUUGUUGCCAGCGGAGGGGAGGAGAGAGGGCAAGGGUGCAGCAACUUUCACAGGGGAGAGCGAAAUCACCUUCUAUGACUGCUCAUCUGGUUCUUCUGUCUAAAACAAACAAACAAAAGGACAAAUUUUAUGAGAGAUGCUGGCUUUGUCUAC